rnacentral:lncRNA from 1 species
UGGGAGUAACUCGAAAAUUCUUGUCAACAGGAAACAUUUCCUUUUUGGUCUGUCGGAUCCAGACACUGUCAGAAGCAGCGAGUGGAGCCCUCGUUCUUCUUUUCAUGGGAGGUCAGACUGCCUCCCGUAAGCAUCUUGAAUCUGUGCCAGUCUCAUCUCUGCUUGGUGAUGUCCAGGGAAGCAGAAUCCUCACCUCACAACGCUGGCCUGCUUGACACUUCAUCCAAAUUUGGACAGUUGAGCAGUAUCCUCAAUUCUAGGGGCAUUUCCUCUCUCAGAAGGUUCAAAUAGCGGGAAUCUCAGGCCUUCCCAGACCUCCUUCAAGGAAAAGGUUGGACCUGGAGGUUCUGACCACAAAUGUAAGUUUCAGGUGAGGCUUGAGGCUGAGCUGAGAUUGGCAUGGUAGGCCACCUGGGAUUCAUGGUGAACAAAUUCAAGACAAAAUGGACAUCAGUGGUAGAUCAGAGAGCAAAGAAAUUUGUGCUGUUAUAAAGUAGGAAAAUUGUCUCCAGAAUGAACUUACUAGACUCAAAGCAGGUAUUAAGGACACAGGGAGCUGGGC